GCAUGGCGCAGUUGGUAGCGCAUCUGCUUAGCAUGCAGGAGGUCGCUGGUUCGAUUCCAGCUGCAUCC
rnacentral:ncRNA from 15 species